rnacentral:ncRNA from 1 species
UGUUAAUUGUUCAUCUGGAAUGACCCAUUCUGGUUUUGGAACGGGCCAUUCCAGAUGAAAAAUUAACAAACAAUAACUUCAAGUAGAACGGUCUGUUCUGGUUGCAGAACGGGCCGUUCUAGAUGAACAAUUAACACAAAAGCUAAUGCAAGUCAAGAUUUUUGAAACUACCCUCAAACGUGCAGGCCCAAUGCAAAACUGAGGUGCAGAAGAGAACUAAGGUGUGCAGAAGACUCAGAUUACUCUUUUUAGAAACUCAGAUUACAAUUUGCUAUCAAAUGAACUAAGGCGCGCGCGAGAAGAGAAUGAAAAGGUCGGGCCAUUUUUGGUAAGCAGAACUGGUGAUGCGGGAUGAACAGGAAGCCGGGUUACGGUGCCCAAUUGUGCACUAAACUAGACCCCACAAAGGGUGUUGGUCGAUUAAGACAAAAGGACGGUGGUCAUGGAAGUCGAAAUCCGCUAAGGAGUGUGUAACAAAUCACCUGUCGAAUCAAUUAGCCUUGAAAAUGGAUGGCGCUAAAGCACUCGACCUAUACCCGGCGUCGAGGCAAGAGCCAAGCCUCGAUGAGUAGGAGGGCGGUCGCUGUAAAACCCGGGGCAUGAGCCCGGGCAGAGCGUUCGUCGUGCAGAU